GGAUGUGAGGGCAAUCUGUCUCCAACAUCUGUCACCGCAUUGAUCGCCAGGGUUGAUUCGACUGAGCUGGCUGGCUACAAGGGUGUCCCUUCCUCCCUCACCGCUCCAUGUGCGUCCCUCCCGAAGCUGCACACUCAGAUGAAGAGGAUGACCUUCCCCAAUAGGAGGACCAUCCUUCAGUCAAGGGCACAUCCCUGCUAGAACACCACCAAACAAGUCUCAAGAGUUG
rnacentral:sRNA from 1 species